rnacentral:rRNA from 1 species
AAUGGGGGGAACCCUGAUCCAGCCAUGCCGCGUGUGUGAAGAAGGCCUUAUGGUUGUAAAGCACUUUAAGCGAGGAGGAGGCUCCCGUAGCUAAUAUCUACGGAGAGUGGACGUUACUCGCAGAAUAAGCACCGGCUAACUCUGUGCCAGCAGCCGCGGUAAUACAGAGGGUGCGAGCGUUAAUCGGAUUUACUGGGCGUAAAGCGUGCGUAGGCGGCUUUUUAAGUCGGAUGUGAAAUCCCCGAGCUUAACUUGGGAAUUGCAUUCGAUACUGGGAAGCUAGAGUAUGGGAGAGGAUGGUAGAAUUCCAGGUGUAGCGGUGAAAUGCGUAGAGAUCUGGAGGAAUACCGAUGGCGAAGGCAGCCAUCUGGCCUAAUACUGACGCUGAGGUACGAAAGCAUGGGGAGCAAA